AUUGAACGCUGGCGGCAGGCCUAACACAUGCAAGUCGAGCGGAUGAAGGGAGCUUGCUCCUGGAUUCAGCGGCGGACGGGUGAGUAAUGCCUAGGAAUCUGCCUGGUAGUGGGGGAUAACGUCCGGAAACGGGCGCUAAUACCGCAUACGUCCUGAGGGAGAAAGUGGGGGGUCUUCGGACCUCACGCUAUCAGAUGAGCCUAGGUCGGAUUAGCUAGUUGGUGGGGUAAAGGCCUACCAAGGCGACGAUCCGUAACUGGUCUGAGAGGAUGAUCAGUCACACGGGAACUGAGCCACGGUCCAGACUCCUACGGGAGGCAGCAGUGGGGAAUAUUGGACAAUGGGCGAGAGCCUGAUCCAGCCAUGCCGCGUGUGUGAAGAAGGUCUUCGGAUUGUAAAGCACUUUAAGUUGGGAGGAAGGGCAGUAAGUUGAUACCUUGCUGUUUUGACGUUACCAACAGAAUAAGCACCGGCUAACUUCGUG
rnacentral:rRNA from 1 species